GCCUUUGGGGCAGGGUGUAAUUCCCUACCGGCGGUAUAGUCCGCGAGCCGUUUGACGGCAUGAACUGGUUAGAUUCCAGUACCGACAGUAUAGUCUGGAUGUGAAAAGGCA
rnacentral:ncRNA from 1 species